rnacentral:rRNA from 1 species
GUCGAACGGAUGAAUAAGCUUGCUUAUUUCGUUAGUGGCGCACGGGUGAGUCCUGUUUAGCUAACCUGCCCUUUAGUGGGGGACAACAGAUGGAAACGUCUGCUAAUACCCCAUACUCCUGCUUAUCAUAAGGUAAGUUGGGCAAAAGAUUUAUUGCUAAAGGAUGGGGCUUUAUGGUAUCAGCUAGUUGGUGGGGUAACGGCCUACCAAGGCUAUGACGCCUACCUGGUCUGAGAGGAUGAUCAGGCACACUGGAACUGAGACACGGUCCAGACUCCUACGGGAGGCAGCAGUGGGGAAUAUUGCACAAUGGAGGAAACUCUGAUGCAGCAACGCCGCGUGGAGGAUGACGCAUUUCGGUGUGUAAACUCCUUUUAUAAGGGAAGAUAAUGACGGUACCUUAUGAAUAAGCACCGGCUAACUCCGUGCCAGCAGCCGCGGUAAUACGGAGGGUGCAAGCGUUACUCGGAAUCACUGGGCGUAAAGGAUGCGUAGGCUGGAAAUCAAGUCGAGAGUGAAAUCCAACGGCUCAACCGUUGAACUGCUCUCGAAACUGGUUACCUAGAAUAUGGGAGAGGUAGAUGGAAUUGGUGGUGUAGGGGUAAAAUCCGUAGAUAUCACCAGGAAUACCGAUUGCGAAAGCGAUCUACUGGAACAUUAUUGACGCUGAGGCAUGAAAGCGUGGGGAGCAAACCACAAGAUUAGAUACCCUGGUAGUCCACGCCCUAAACGAUGCACACUAAAUGUUGCGAUGCUAGUCAUUGCAGUAAUGCACUUAACAGAAUAAGUGUGCCGCCCUGGGGAGUACCGGCGCCAGAUUAAAA